GAUUGAAGUUCGAAAAGUUGAUCCUGAUUGUCCAAAUAAAGAUUUAACGGCUGAGAUUCAAUCAGAAUGACUAGAUCAGAAGUAUCAAAUUCUGUAACGACUCUAAUAUACUUUUGGCUUAUAAAUACAAUUUUGGGGGUUGUUGGUAAUAUAUUGAAGUGCCAUAUAUUUUUAAAAUCACUUGUAUUCAAUACUUCAAUCCCUUUAUCAUUUACUUAUGAGUUUUGAUUUGUGAGAGUUAGAUCACUCUAGACAAAAAGAAAGUUUCAUUAUAAUUAUCCUUGUUCUAGAAUUGGUUAGAUAAGAGUUACUUUAACUACCACAGCUUGUUGGAAAAAUCAAUAUAAGUUCUAGUGUUUGUAAAGGUUGUGAAGAUCAAUAUAGUUCCCAAGAGAUGGAGUCUCUUGAACACUAGAAGAGUUCUAGUGUUUGUAAAGGUUGUGAAGUACCCGCAAACUUGAAGAUAAUAAAUUUUCAAGGAGAAUCUUAAAGAGUAGACGUAAAUCGAGAUUUGUCAGACCACUAUAAAUCUACGUUCCAAUCGAGUUUUAAAAAACAAUUAUAACUAAACAACGUAUAUUGCAAAUAACUAAACAUCUUCUAUUGUAGAGCACAACUUAUGUAAAACCUUGAUAAUUCAAACAUAAAAAUAAGCUUUUUAAGAUGUUCUUGACCCACAAAUAAAAAGCAAAAUUUGUGACGAGCUUUCUAAAACAUGAAAAAGCGAAAACUGCAACCACCAAAAUUGUGGGCAAUACUCCGAGGAUUCUUAGGGCAAGUAUUUGACGCUGACCUGGAACACAUGUCUCGCUCUUUGAUUAAAGCAUAUGCUCAAAUCACAUUUUUAAAGAUAAAAUCACGCUUAUUUUCAUUAUUUUACGAAUAAAAAGUUUUAAUACAUCAUUACUGCACUGUCAACACAAUUGUGAUUGGAGAGGGAAAUUUCAUUGUUUUCACCAAGUCCAAGUCUACUACUGUUGAGUUGUAAACAAAUCCAUAGUAUCAAGACCAAACCCCCCCAGUUCCCAAAUCAAAACACUUGGCCUUGAAAUAUGUUAAAUCAACAAAUUUUUUUCCAUGCAAAGUAAGUAGUGCGGUUUUGUGGAGGUUGCUGGUGAAUGAGUUAAAGGGUAUUUUUUUUAACGACCUAGUUCCUUUAAAGUUGGAAUUUGGAUUGCUCCAGUGCAAUUCAAAUUUUUUGAGUUCACUUUUGGGCUAAGUUUGAUCAUUCAAAAUGUUUAUAUUGUAAACUCUAAUGUCAAGAUCAGUAUUACAAAAAGAUCGCGUUGAUCGAACACAAUCUAGAAUCCGUUUAUUACUGUCUCAUAUUCGAAACUUCUGAAGUGUCAUCAAUUUUUAAUUUGGGUUUAAAUCCAUUGUUAAUGGACAGUGAGAUUAAUUCUUUAAAUUAGUGGGUCCUUGAGACAGAUACCGAAUUAUUAAAAAUAGUAUAUUUGUGGAAACUAUUAGUACAAUUAAUUUAUUAGGAACGAAAGAGAUUAGGAGCUUUUAGUCCCUGCUCUUUUACUCCUACUAUCCAUUGCCUUCAAAACAAAUGAAUGUGUGUAUGUUUUUAUCACUUCAAUCCAUUCCUAACAACCCCAAGGGUUAAUUUUAAAAGUUCCAAAUUGGAUAGAGACGUUGCAUCAUUAAUUGCACUAAAAAGAACCGUUCUGAUUUGAUUUCAGUCAUUGGAUCUGAGAUUUUGAUAUGCUAGAGUGAAAUUUAAAAGUUCGGUCGUGUACUUUCUAAACUUCGGUCGACCGAACUUUAACUUCAGUCAUGUUUGAACUGAAUCUCUAGUUGCUAAGUUAAUUGCUCUAUUUUACUUUCCUGAACUUCGAUCGUCCCUAAUUUGGACUUUAGACUUCGGUCAACUAAAUUUUAAGUUCGGUCGUUUUUGUACUGCAUUUUCAGGGGUUUGCUUAGAUACUCUGCUUCAUCUUUUGAAUUUGGCUUCUACCUUAAAGAUUCGGCUGUGCUCUGAACUUUGGUCGUGUACUUCUGAAUGUUCGGUCGACCAUUAAGUUGGAUUGUCAUUAGCUUGUUUUUCCAGAGAGCUUUUACUUACAUUAUUAAUUUGAGAGUUCCUAGCAUUCGGCUGUGCUUUGGGACUUCAGUUCUUGAACUUUGGUCGAUCCUUCUUGGACUUCGGUCGCCUCUGAACUGAGUUUCCUGAGAGCAUACUCUGUUCUUAACAAUAAUCUUUGUUUUGCUUGUGUUAGCAUUCGACGUUUCAAAACUCUUUUUAGAUCUACCCAAGUCUAUUUCUAAGACCACCCUUUAUUUUUUCUUUUUAUCGAUGAUUUUCAAACGCAACUUAGUUUUAAUCCUUUUGUAAUCAUCAAAAUUAAUUACUUUAUUUUAAUAAAUAUAAUUUAUUUUGUAAAAGAAAAGUGUAAUUUUUUUGAUGGUGUCAAUUGACCCCACGACCAUUGUGACAUAUACCCCGAGGAUUCUUACGGUAAGUAUUUUAGGUUGACGGAACACAUGUCUCAGUCUUUGAGUAAAGCAUACGCUCAAAAUCACAAUUUUUAAAGAUAAUUCACACUAUUUUUCAUUAUUUCACCAAUAAAAUAGUAUCAAUACAUCACUACUGUCAGCACUAUUGUGGUUGGAGAGAGAAAUUUGAUUAUUUUAUCAAGUCCAAGUCCAAGUCCAAGUCCAAGGCCAAGUCCUGCUGAGUUGUAAACAAAUACAUAGUGGCUCAAGACCAAACCCCACAGUUUCCAAAUCAAAACACUUUGGCUUUGAAAUAUGUUAAAUCAACAAUUUUUUUCCACGCAAAAUAGUUACUGUGGUUUUGUGGAGGUUGUUGGUGCAUGAGUUAUGGAUAUUUUUUUAACGACCCUGUUUCUUUGAAGUUGGAAUUUGGAUUGCACAAGUGCAAUUCAAGUUUUUUGAGUUCACUUUUGGACCCUGUUUGAUCAUUUAAAAUAUUUAUAUUGUAGACUCUGAUGCCAAGAUCAGUAUUAAAAAAAGACCACGUUGAUCGAAUAAAUUUAGAAUCCGUUCAUUACUAUCCGGAUUCGAAACUUCUUAGGUGUUACUAAUUCUUAAUUUGGGUUCAAACCCACCAUUAAUGGACAGUGAGAUUAAUUUUCUAGAUUAGUGGGUCCUUGAAUCAAAUACCGAGUUAUCAAAAAUACUAUAUUUGUGGAAACUAUUAGUACAAUUAAUUUGUUAGGAAUGUAAGAGAUUAGGAGCUUUUAGUCCCUGCUCUUUUUGGCCUACUAUCCCUUUCCUUGCAAACAUAUGUAGUGUAUCCCAUCUUUAAAAUUUUAGAACUCAGUAAUUUUCUUGUAAGUUGUAACUCAUUAGUAUCCACAAGAAAUAUCAAAAAUAGUCACCUCUCCGCCGUAAAAACUCUUUGCCACGGAAGGACUAGGUUGGCAAUUGGUGGGGUUGCAAUAACUUUUUGCGUUGACAUCAGACCAUGGCAAACACUGUUGCUACACUUUUCAACUAAUAAUCCCAAGGCAAAAAAUAACAGUAUAAAUUGUUACUCUAAAACAUUAAUCCCUCAUGGCUUAUAAAUUUUCAACAUGGUCUAGUCAAAUCCAUAUUACUAUUAAAACGAAAGAUGUUUGUCGACUUUUCAAUUCCCAAAAUGCCCUUGGUUCAAUAAAAAAAGGAAUAUUGAAGUUGUGAUUUUGUUUUUGAGGAAAAAAAAAACUUACUCUCACUUAGACACGUAAAACCAAGCCUUUUAUUUUACUCCUCCAGAAUUCAUUCUAUUCAUUCCAGCCAUAACAGACAACGCUUCGGUAAUCCUAUCAACUCCAUUGUGUCUUCUUCAAUUGCCCAAUAGCUUCUUCUUCACUCUUAUCUUCGAAAGAAACUUUCCCUUGAUUGUUUAUGCUAUCUAACCUAAAAUCAUUCAGAGAGCAGGAGAGGUGGAAAUAAUAGCAGCUUUUCUAAAUGAACCCUAUUAUUUAGGAGAUGUCUUUCUACUUGGGAAGUGGAGCAAACAUAGUCUACUUCAAAUGAAAAUUGAGGAGUGGAUUCCGGUUACGGAUAAGAAUGAUUCUCUCAAAUUGAAAUGUUAAAGGAUGCAUAUAAAUCAUAAUAUUAAGUCUGCCUUGGUGUCAAAUUGUGAUAUUUAGUAAGUUAAAAAGAGGAUAUUCUUAUUCAAGGGAGGAAUAAUGAUGGGGAUGUCUUUUCAUCUCUAGAUCAGAAGAAUAUACAACACAUUUACAUCUAUAUUAUGAAUCUCCUCUCUAUCCCAACUUUAAAAUCUUCCAGAUAUAUUAAGAAAGCAUCCCUAAUAAACUUGGCAUUGGUCCAAAAUCGUGUAGCAUUAAACCUUAUCAUGUCCCUCUCUUUCAUCUUUAAAAUCUUCAAGAUAUUUCAAAAAAACAUCCCUAAUGAACUUGACAGCGGUCCCAAGUCGUGUAGCAUUAAAUCCUAUUGUGUCCCUCACUACAAUCUUUAAAAUCUUCAAGAUAUUUCAAGGAAACAUCCCUAAUAAACUUGACAAUGAUCCAAAGUUGUGUAGCAUUCUCUCCCAUAUUUAAAAUCGUCAAGAUAUUUUAUAGAAACAUCCCUAAUAAACUUGAUUGUGAUUCAAAGUAGCGUGUUAUGUCCCUCUCUUUUAAAGUAUAAUUUAUUUAUUUAUUUUAUUAAUUAAUUCCAGAUAUCAAGUCAACACAUGGUAGGCUUUUAAAAUUACAUUUUGUGGCUGAAGAUGGUACCUUGUCAUUCAAAAUAUUGACCCUUGCCGAUGGUGUGAAUUGACUGCAAGCGGAGGACAAUUACACACAUUGUCUUGGCCUUGGGAUAUUUCUCAUCUAAACUAAAAAUUUGGACUGUAAAUGGUGGCAGUUGACAAAAUGGGCCCAUCAAUGGAUGAGUACUAACAAAAGAAUUUAUUAAAAACCGAAAGAUCUCUUAAAAAAGCCAAAAUUUUGGAGACUUGUUAGACAUAUAAUUUGGGGCCAAUUUUGAACAAAAACAAAUGAGGAAUUCAUACGUCUUUUUAACCGGAUCCAAAUUCGAAUAUGCUUAUCUAUGUGAGAUGAUUAACAUCCGAUAUUUUUUUUAUUCAAAACGAAUAAAGAGUGAAUGAAAAAUUGACACCAAAAUUCACUAGUUGAAUAUUAGGUGAAGAAUGGUUAAAAAAAUUGUUCCGCAUUGGUCAUUUAUGAGACCUUUAGUGGGUUUACAGGCUUCUCCUUGAACUUGGGCUUGGACUAAGGGGCAACCAGGUUCUGUGGAGGAGGGAGGACCUAGCACCUUAUGUGUUGACCUUUUCAAAAGUUUUUAUUUUUCAGCACCUUAUUAUUUUUUAUAUAUGAUUUUAAAGCGGUUCAAAAGUUUCUUAUAGUUGUGGUAAUUGGGUCCUUUCAUUACGUAGUUCGGCCAUAUGCUUACGUAUAUGGGCAGUCAAAUGAGCAAAAACUUUCAUUAACAAAUUAAACGAUUGCUCUGAAGAGUUACAAAGGAGAAUUGUGUGAAGAACUUUCUCUCCAAAGCCCCACCAAAAUCAAAUAUAAAUUUUCUCCAAACCUUAACUAGAAUCAAACCAAAAACUUUGUCAAACAAAAGGAUUAAAGAUUCAACCAAAGUCCUCAAUUGUGGCACCAAAGGAACUACAAAGUUCGUCCAAAUACUAAGGGUCAACCCAGUCCCCUAUAGGGGGCUUCAAAGGAACUAUGAAGUUUAACAAAUAUGAGAGUCUUUCCAAAUUUAUAACUAUGGAAUCCCUCAUAAAAAGAUAGUGUAUGGAAAUCUAUUACUUUCUUGUAGUGAUUUCUUUUAUUUUACUUUUUGAUUUAUUUCUAAAAUAUGCAGGGUUCCAUUUUAAGAGUUCGCUUAGGAAAAGCUUAGGGCCGGCCCCUGAUUAGAUUCAUGUAUAAGUCAGUAAAUAAAGAGAUUUCAUGCACUGUUGAUUCACUGUGAAAACAAAUUGAAGUAUUUUAUUUGUUCAGCGUACAAUCACUGUAUUUCAAGAGACAGACAUCUAAAACAGUAAACACAGUGAUGAAGGAAAAUUCUGCAUUCAAGGACAUAGUGUUAAACACGAGCCUUGAUUAUUCUCCUUCGAAUUGCUCAUUGCAGAUUCUACAAUUAUUUAUACAAAGCAUAUCUUCUUCUGCAAUCAGUCUUUUGUGUUCAAACCACAGGAUCUGUUUCUGAUUUUGUCUCUAAAGUAAUUGUUGUUUCCAAAACAGUUUUGUGUUAUGUUUAUGCAAAAUUAGAGUUUUUAAAUAAUUUAGUUUCUGCAAAUUAAAUCUGUUUCUAUAAUUAUAUAUAUCCAAAUGUAUGGAAUGAUUUUUCCUUUUAGCUCUCAUUCAUAUUGAUACUAGCGGAGGUACUAGACCUCAUAGGAAUCAAACUAAGUAAUUGUGGGGUUGUUGUUAUACGAAAGGAGGAGAGGAAAUCGAGGAUAGACACCCGCGGUGGUCCUAGAGCUGCGUGGGUGGCUCUGGCCUCCUGAGCGACUGACUUGUGAUGCCUUGCUUGUGAGCACAACAACAGUAAGAAUGGUCGCCGGAGUUGUUUUUGAGAAAUAGCUCUCUGACGGUCAAGUUAGACGUCUAGAAUCAUAGAGAGAGAAAGUAUGUGCAUCUUUGUUGGAGUAAAAUUUCACAUGCGUCUAUGAGAACAACCGUGUUCUCCUUUAUACCUAGACUCAGCACGUGACUCGACGUUUGCUGUGUCAGUGAGUGGGUGGCUGGCCAAGCAUCUAUGGCGUGGCUAGAAGCUUACCAUCAACUGUCGGCGUCUCCAUUAGGGCAUGGAGGCUGUCAGAAGGCACUUGCCAUGCAAAUUACCUUUUGUCCCCAAUCAUCCUUUGGGAUUAGCACUAGCCGUUACCCCUCGCCCAAGCUUUUAGCGCAGUUAUUAUUUUGAGGUCGCUAAGUAGCAGCACCUUGGGGGUAGGGAUGGGCUUAGCUCGGGAGGGCAUUCUUUUGUAGUGGUGAUUCUCCGAGCUCCGGCAUAGUGGGUCUCCGAGCUCGCCCCGUGGCGACGGUUGGUCAAAACCUCUACCCUAGCAAGGUCAAUGUCGAAUGGUGCCUAUACCAAGCUCCAGCAUAGGGAGCCACCGAGCUCACUCUGUCGAGAUAGCUCGUUGGUGGGUUCCUUCCCUAGUAGGGUCAAGUUAUGUCAUUGUAUAAUUUUUUCCCUUACGAUUGUCCCUUAGUAUGCAUGAGUUGGGUAGAUGCUUUGCCGAGAUCAUGUGAGCUGGAUGUGCUCGCUCUUUAGGUUCGGUUCUUGUUGGGCAAGCCAAGGCUUGCUAGCUAUUUUUCUUUUUUCUUUUUGUUCUGUCUGCAUCUGUCACUCCACCAUAAAUAUUGGAGCCAUGCAUCUAGAAUCUGGUUAGCCUACAGGCAUGCCUAAGUUUGUGUGCAUAAAUUCUUUACCUGCCCAUAGGACUCGCUUGGUUUGGACAUGCGUCCACAUGGUUGCCACAUUCACAUGUCCCAUGUGUCUUGUAGGGUAGUUACCGGUGCGUAGCUCUACGCGCCCACUAAGAUACAUUUUGGCUACUUUCCU
rnacentral:lncRNA from 1 species